GACUUUCUGAGCUUCUGAGAAAGCAAAUUGCCUUCCUGUUUAGUUCCUACAUGGCUACCUGUCCCCUGAACACUUGGUGGUCAUGUUUUUGAGACCUGGCUCCUUCGGACCAUUUCCUUCCUGGAGAAAUUGUGCUGUUUCGU
rnacentral:lncRNA from 1 species